AUUGAACGCUGGCGGCGUGCCUAAUACAUGCAAGUCGAACGCAGUGGGGACGGGUGAGUAACACGUGGGUAACCUCCCAUCAGAGGGGAUAACACUUGGAAACCGGUGCUAAACCGAUACUGAUGGAUGGACCCGCGGUGCAUUAGCUAGUGGGGGAGGUAACGGCGCACCAAGGCCACGAUGCAUAGCCGACCUGAGAGGGUAAUCGGCAAAACUGGGACUGAGACACGGCCCAGAAUCCGACGGGAGGCAGCAGUAGGGAAUCGUCGGCAAUGGACGAAAGUCUGACCGAGCAACGCGGCGUGAGUGAAGAAGGUUUUCGGAUCGUAAAACUAUGUUGUUAGAAAAGCGGUAUCUAACCAGAAAGCCACGGCUAACUACGUGCCAGCAGCCGCGGUAAUUC
rnacentral:rRNA from 1 species